rnacentral:rRNA from 1 species
ACGCUCGACACCUACGGGAGACAGCAGUAGGGAAUCUUCCACAAUGGACGCAAGUCUGAUGGAGCAACGCCGCGUGAGUGAAGAAGGUUUUCGGAUCGUAAAGCUCUGUUGUUGGUGAAGAAGGAUAGAGGUAGUAACUGGCCUUUAUUUGACGGUAAUCAACCAGAAAGUCACGGCUAACUACGUGCCGGCAGCCGCGGUAAUCUGAGCGGGCUGGCAAGGC